AGUGGACGCUGGCGGUAGGCCUAACACAUGCAAGUCGAACGGCAGCACAGUAAGAGCUUGCUCUUACGGGUGGCGAGUGGCGGACGAGUGAGGAAUACAUCGGAAUCUACUUUUUCGUGGGGGAUAACGUAGGGAAACUUACGCUAAUACCGCAUACGACCUACGGGUGAAAGCAGGGGAUCUUCGGACCUUGCGCGAUUGAAUGAGCCGAUGUCGGAUUAGCUGGUUGGCGGGGUAAAGGCCCACCAAGGCGACGAUCCGUAGCUGGUCUGAGAGGAUGAUCAGCCACACUGGAACUGAGACACGGUCCAGACUCCUACGGGAGGCAGCAGUGGGGAAUAUUGGACAAUGGGCGCAAGCCUGAUCCAGCCAUACCGCGUGGGUGAAGAAGGCCUUCGGGUUGUAAAGCCCUUUUGUUGGGAAAGAAAAGCAGCAGGUUAAUACCCCGCUGUUCUGACGGUACCCAAAGAAUAAGCACCGGCUAACUUCGUG
rnacentral:rRNA from 1 species